CUGCCUUGUACCUUACACCUGAGACACCUGCUGGCCAAACAUCGCUACUACACCCAACAACCAUGGGGAGAACUGGAACAUCUGAACACCUAGGACUGUUAGGACCAGCUCUCAAGGAUUUCAUCUGAGGUGAUACUCACUGGCCUGCUGAUAGUCAUAAGAGUUCUAAAUGGCUAAGAACGAAGAGGACGUUGUACUGGGUUACAUCAUAGACCAGCGAUAGAAAACCAAGACCUAAGAAGGUGGAAGGAAGGGAGUCUUAAUUUGUGAAGACACAGGCCAACAGGCAAUCAGAUAGAUAAAGAAACUAAGUCACCACAAUCUCCACAAGAGAAGGGAUUUGCCAGGCACAGCGGUAUGGCUACAAUCGGAGCAGGAAGAAGCCUAAGCAAGAGGAACUCAAGGCCAG